AUUUAAAAUUUUAAUAUGUACUUUUUGCAACCCAGAACUCAUUGUUCAGUAUGAGUUUUGAUACAUAUAAGAAGGGAUAUU
rfam:Gorilla gorilla gorilla genomic chromosome, chr1, whole genome shotgun sequence